rnacentral:rRNA from 1 species
CAUGCGAGUCGAGCGGUAGCACAGAGAGCUUGCUCUCGGGUGACGAGCGGCGGACGGGUGAGUAAUGUCUGGGAAACUGCCUGAUGGAGGGGGAUAACUACUGGAAACGGUAGCUAAUACCGCAUAAUGUCGCAAGACCAAAGUGGGGGACCUUCGGGCCUCAUGCCAUCAGAUGUGCCCAGAUGGGAUUAGCUAGUAGGUGGGGUAACGGCUCACCUAGGCGACGAUCCCUAGCUGGUCUGAGAGGAUGACCAGCCACACUGGAACUGAGACACGGUCCAGACUCCUACGGGAGGCAGCAGUGGGGAAUAUUGCACAAUGGGCGCAAGCCUGAUGCAGCCAUGCCGCGUGUGUGAAGAAGGCCUUCGGGUUGUAAAGCACUUUCAGCGGGGAGGAAGGCGUUAAGGUUAAUAACCUCAUCGAUUGACGUUACCCGCAGAAGAAGCACCGGCUAACUCCGUGCCAGCAGCCGCGGUAAUACGGAGGGUGCAAGCGUUAAUCGGAAUUACUGGGCGUAAAGCGCACGCAGGCGGUCUGUCAAGUCGGAUGUGAAAUCCCCGGGCUCAACCUGGGAACUGCAUUCGAAACUGGCAGGCUAGAGUCUUGUAGAGGGGGGUAGAAUUCCAGGUGUAGCGGUGAAAUGCGUAGAGAUCUGGAGGAAUACCGGUGGCGAAGGCGGCCCCCUGGACAAAGACUGACGCUCAGGUGCGAAAGCGUGGGGAGCAAACAGGAUUAGAUACCCUGGUAGUCCACGCCGUAAACGAUGUCGAUUUGGAGGUUGUGCCCUUGAGGCGUGGCUUCCGGAGCUAACGCGUUAAAUCGACCGCCUGGGGAGUACGGCCGCAAGGUUAAAACUCAAAUGAAUUGACGGGGGCCCGCACAAGCGGUGGAGCAUGUGGUUUAAUUCGAUGCAACGCGAAGAACCUUACCUGGUCUUGACAUCCACAGAACUUUCCAGAGAUGGAUUGGUGCCUUCGGGAACUGUGAGACAGGUGCUGCAUGGCUGUCGUCAGCUCGUGUUGUGAAAUGUUGGGUUAAGUCCCGCAACGAGCGCAACCCUUAUCCUUUGUUGCCAGCGGUUCGGCCGGGAACUCAAAGGAGACUGCCAGUGAUAAACUGGAGGAAGGUGGGGAUGACGUCAAGUCAUCAUGGCCCUUACGACCAGGGCUACACACGUGCUACAAUGGCAUAUACAAAGAGAAGCGACCUCGCGAGAGCAAGCGGACCUCAUAAAGUAUGUCGUAGUCCGGAUUGGAGUCUGCAACUCGACUCCAUGAAGUCGGAAUCGCUAGUAAUCGUAGAUCAGAAUGCUACGGUGAAUACGUUCCCGGGCCUUGUACACACCGCCCGUCACACCAUGGGAGUGGGUUGCAAAAGAAGUAGGUAGCUUAACCUUCGGGAGGGCGCCUACC